GUUGCCAUGGCUGUGGUGUAGACCUCAGCUGUGGCUCCUAUUCAACCCCUGGCCCGGGAACUUCCAUAUGCUACCAGGGCAGCUGUAAAAGAAAAAUACAUUAAAAAGAAUGAUCCACAUCCUUUGUAGCCUGAAUUCACUGAUGACUUGGGAGAUCUGAGGAGUGAAGUUUACCGCUCGGAUUUUUUGCAUUUCCAACAGGAGGGAAUUUAUCAAGAUGUGCUGCAGGCUGAACUUCUAUGCUGAAGUCCUAAUCGCCAGUGUAUUUGCAAGUGGGGCCUUUGGGAGGUAACCUGGUCGUGAGGGUGGCGCCUCCAGGACUGGGACUCGUGCCGUGACGAGGGGACCUGGGAGAGAUGACCUCUCCCUCCGAGCUGUGAGGGAGGACGCAGCAAGAAGGUGGCCGCCUGCAGGCUGGGAAGAGAGCCCUCACCAGAUCCCCAGCCGGCCGAUUUUCCCCGGAACCGCAGGAAACUAGUGUUUGCUGUUGAAGCUGCCUAGACUGGCCUGUGAUUGUCAAAGCAGGUACUGUGUUCUUGGCCAGUCUGAACCCAGGAGAUGCAAAUUCUCGCCUUUGCUGGGAUCCUGCGUGAACAGCUCUGUCCCCACCAUCCCAGAGGGCACCCGUGAGACCCAGGAGUCGGCUUUUGUUGGCACAUCAGAUUCGUUUUGCCGUUGAGCCUCUAAGGAACAAAGGAUAUGGACACGUCCUCCAUUGUGGCAGCAGCCACAACGGCCACUUAAACCAGGAGGAGACCCAGGCCCGAUGAAGGAGAGAAACAGUCGAUUCCAGAACCUGGGAGCGACGCUGGCAAGCACCUGUUAGGCCUGGCCCCCAAGGGCCCUGCUUCAGAUGCUUCUUUCCUGACCUCCUCCAGCUGGAUGUCGUCUCCUUGGAAGCUCCCUCUGCACAUCGUCUGCCCCUCUCCUGGGGCACUGACUCCUGUCUGUCUCCAGCUCAACAUGCCUCCCGGGCUCUGAAAGGAACCGCAGCAUCCUCUCAGCUGGAAACGUCCUCAGGGGCACGGUGCUUGGACUCUUCCGGUCUGCGGAGCCCCAGGCUGGAAGCUCUGGAUCAUGCACGGGAAGAAGGAAGGUGUCUGGGGCCUUCCGAGUGGAGCAGCGGCGCUUGCUUUCUGGGGAAAUGCUGUGGACACGCCCUGCCAAAUCGCAAAGCCAGAGUCCCCCAGCCAGGGCAUGACAAAAGAUCAGCCAGGACAGCAAAGCUCUUUUCCCUGCAGGCGCCGAGGAGGACCUGCCUGGCUCCCUUGGAGCUGUGGUCACUUGCAGGGUCCCCAGAGUCCCUCUGAAGCCCAUCCUUUAUUAGUGGGGAUGUGGCAGGUGCUUAGGGUGGACCCCAGUGCCCUGUCCUGCCGCCCCCUCCUGGGGAAGGAGUUGGGUGAUUCCCUGAAUUCAGGGGAGGGAAGCAGAGGCUGAGGGGCUCUGAGCAGCCCCAGGUUCUCCUGUCCCUUGGGGGGGUGGCUUACCUUCUCGCCACUUCUGUUUUCUCCCUCCCCUAUUGCCCCUCCCCCUCGUCUCCCCUCGGGAACUGCUAGUUUGUUUUCUGAUGGUUGGGUCUCUUUCUGUUUUGUACGUAUACUCAUUGGCAGCCCUUCACUUCUUAAAUCCGGUCUUUGAACCCAGCCCCUCCUGUGUGCAGGUACCCCAACUUUCCAGAUGCUUGGUUUCCUCCCUAGGA